AACCAAUCUGCGGCUGCAGGUUUGCUACCUGCAGCAUAAAAAGGGACACACGCAGCACUGAGGAGGAACGGAGAAUGAAUGAGCUCCUCAAACUGUGCAGGACUGCUUCAUCUACAGAAAUCCGGGUAGCAGCAGCAGACCUCCUCUCCAGCUUUGCCUCUCCACAUUUCAAACCUUACCAACUCCAGAUGUGGCCUCUCAGGGAGGUUGGUGCUCCACUUCAAACCAAACCAUCAAACCUAAAGUUACAGAGUCCAGAUGUGCUAACAGCUGCUGUGGUUCAGAAAGGUUCACAUAUGAGUGAUUGAAAGACAGACUCCCUUUUGGCAGAGCAGCUCCACUGGUAGAACCAAACAGUUGGAUUCAAAAGACCCAGAGGAACCGCCCUCUGACGGUUCUGGUGUUCACAUAACAACCAGUGGCAGGCAAUGAAGUGUGAAAUUAUUCCUAUUCCAAUAGGUUAAAGUAUUUCUUCUAAACUCUGUACAGUUAAAUGAUCACUGGACAGAAAAUGUGAUGCCGCAGAUAAAACAACCAAAGAGACAAAGCAGAGACGGCUUCAUAGAAACCAUUCGUCUUACCUCCACUCUACGGGGAAGCGGCAAAAUCCAGAGGACACCGGAUGGAUGAGUGAAACAUAAAGAAGUGGGAGACACAGAAGAGAAAUACAGCCGUGAUGCUUCUCUCUGCAGCUCAUAGCUAAAAGACAGUGUGUGUGGUCAGGAUAAGACAUGUAGGUAUGUGCUUUAAGGUGGCUGUGGUCAUGCAUGUGUCUGGGUGGGACCAAAUGGGAAGACAACAAACAGCUGAAGACACACUGACAGCUAGAACAACACAAAGCAGUAGCAACAACAACACAACUAUACAAAGCUACUAGAACUAUUAACGUUUCUCUAAAUCUACAGUGAGUCUGGCUAUCUGAUGAGGAAAUCCAACAUGUUCACCUGCUACUGUGACUCUUGCC